rnacentral:lncRNA from 1 species
UGAUGAGGAGUUAUGAAAAAUAGAUAAUUACUUAUGUACUCCUCAAAAUUUCUAGAAUAUUUUAUAUAUCUAUAUAUUUUUUUGUUUUAAAUAUAUUUCUCGUAUAUUUUUUUUCAUUAUUCAAAAAUAACCUCGCUGUUAGUAUCCAUUAAGUUAUUUAGAAUUAAAUUCAGGUUAAAUUUCUAUCAUAAUUUUUAAAAAAAUCAAAAUAUCUCUUUUGCCCAGACAAAUAAGAAAAGUUGGUGACGAUAGAAGGAUAUAUUUGAAAAGGCAAAAAAUUAAAAUAUUUCUUUUGUCCCUAACUUAAGAGCAAAUAAGAAAGUUAGUAACAGUAAAUAGGUAUAUUUGAAAGGGUAAAAUAAUAAUUUUACAUAUAUAACAAUUGUUCCUAAUAGUUCACUAACAAAAUUUAACUCUAGGGCGCGUUUGGUUCGAGGUAUGUAAUAUUACAGAGUAUUUUGAAAUAUCCAGAUAUCUUGGAUUUUUGAAUGAUAUUAUUACUGAUGUUGCAUUAGUGCGUUUGGUUUAAUACAGUAAUGUAAUGCUAGGUUGCAGUGUUUGUAGUGUUACUAUGUUUGGUUUUUACUAUAAAAUUUAAUAAUCUAGACAAUAAAGUAUAAUCUAUUCCAAAAUUACCCUUAGUCAUAUUUCGUAAAUUUUUUUUUACUGUUUACAAACAAUAUUUUUUUACCAAAUUUUAUUUUAAAUAAUUUAAUUUUCUAAAUUUUAAAUUUUAACAAAAAUAUAAAUUUAAUAUUUUAAUUUAAAAUAUAAAUAACCAUUGAUAUAUUUGAACACGGAUAUAAACCUUCAAUUGCAUUGUAUUUUUUUUU